rnacentral:rRNA from 1 species
AAUGUAAAACCCUUCCAGAGUAACAAUUGGAGGGCAAGUCUGGUGCCAGCAGCCGCGGUAAUUCCAGCUCCAAUAGUGUAUAUUAGAGUUGUUGCAGUUAAAAAGCUCGUAGUUGGAUUUCUGCUGUGGUCAUCCGGUACCGCCCGUAUGGGUGCGCACCUGGUUUGGCUGCGGCUUUCUUCCUGUAGCCGUCCGCGCUUAAUUGCGUGCGUUGUGUUACGGAACUUUUACUUUGAGAAAAAUAGAGUGUUUCAAGCAGGCUUGUCGCCCUGAAUACUUCAGCAUGGAAUAAUAGGAUAGGACCUUGGUUCUAUUUUGUUGGUUUCUAGGACCAAGGUAAUGAUUAAUAGGGACAGUGGGGGGCAU